AGGCUUACACAUGCAAGUCGAACGGUCUCUUCGGAGGCAGUGGCAGACGGGUGAGUAACGCGUGGGAAUCUACCUUUUGCUACGGAACAACAGUUGGAAACGACUGCUAAUACCGUAUGUGCCCUUCGGGGGAAAGAUUUAUCGGCAAAGGAUGAGCCCGCGUUGGAUUAGCUAGUUGGUAGGGUAAAGGCCUACCAAGGCGACGAUCCAUAGCUGGUCUGAGAGGAUGAUCAGCCACACUGGGACUGAGACACGGCCCAGACUCCUACGGGAGGCAGCAGUGGGGAAUAUUGGACAAUGGGCGCAAGCCUGAUCCAGCCAUGCCGCGUGAGUGAUGAAGGCCCUAGGGUUGUAAAGCUCUUUCACCGGUGAAGAUAAUGACGGUAACCGGAGAACAAGCCCCGGCUAACUUCGUGCCAGCAGCCGCGGUAAUACGAAGGGGGCUAGCGUUGUUCGGAUUUACUGGGCGUAAAGCGCACGUAGGCGGACUUUUAAGUCA
rnacentral:rRNA from 1 species